GGGGCGACUUGGGAGCGAGGGCCACGGGCCGCCGACGAGGCGACUCAAGACCCGCCGGGGAGGAAUGGCAGGAAUCUGCCGGGUUCACGGAAUGAGAGGCAGGCCUAAGCCUGAGAAGAUGCAGACCUCUCUCUGUCACGAAAUGAACGCAGCAGAUGGCCAAAAAGAAUGAACAAUGCCAGGUUCUUUGUUCUGAUAGGGGACAGGGAAAGGUCCAAUCCCCAACAUUUCAGGGGCUAAAGGGCUGUUUAUAUGUUCUGUUGUCCUCUCCAGGGAGGGAAAACAAAAGUGAGAUGGAGAGCGUGCCUCCCACACUCAAAAUCCUCUGCCCGAAGCACAGUUUGGACUGAUGGUACCCUGCAGCCUCCCCGGAGAAAAAGCACAGGCUGAGUCCCAUGUCUGAGCAAGGGGCAUCUGGAAAGAGACGUUUGCUCUCGAAUAGGUGGCUGGCCUCUACGUGCAGACGGGUGGAAGGUGAGCUGAUGGACAGCGAAGGCACAGUAGCAAUAUCGUCGGUAGACGUAUUAUCUUUAACAUCCAGUGGGCCUCGGAGAAGGAAGAACUAUUAGAUUGUUCUCUUUUGGUUGACGCUUAAUGUCUGGUGAUAUUUUAGAGGCUCCCUGUGGAUCUCCAUCAUGGAAUCAGAAUUUGAGAGCCAUCACAUUAGCUGCCACUUACUGAGCACUAAUUCUAUGUGUAUCUCAUUUGAUCCUCACGCAUUUGAGGUAAGGGGUUUGUGGUGAGGACCAUAUCAGAGAGAUUUGCUCAUGGCCUCCUGAGCAAGCAUUAUGCCAGCUGAAAUUUGAACUGGAGUCUGUCAAAUGGCAAAGCCUUGCAAGUAUCUUACAGGGUAUGAAAUGCGUGUCAUCUCAUCCGUUGUUCCAGUGCCUUCCAGAGGGCUAAGACAGGAGCCCAGCCAGAACUGGGUGGGGAAAUCCAGUCUUUCCUUCUCCAUUCCUCCCAGAACCCCACAACUUCUCACCAAGAAGGGAAGUACCCUCUCCUGACCUGAAUUCCCACUGACAGUCAAGGCUACUGUCUCAAGACGAACUGAUAGAGGAACGUAUUAAAUGAUCCUAUGAAGAUGUAAUCAGCAAAAUCCAGACUCUGGAAGCGAAUUUACCCAGUUUCUACAAUAAUGUCUAAGAAGAAAGAAAAAAAGGAAAGAAGAAAGGAAGGAAGAAAGGAAGGAAGAAGGAACAAAGGAAAAGGAACGAGAGAAAGGAAAGGGAAGGAGCGAGAUGGAGGAGGAAAGAAAAUAUUAAAAAAGACAACCAACUGCAGUGAAUGAAUGGAGCGUACUUGGGUUCUGAAUCAAAGAACAAACUUUAAAAAUUAAAUUUUCAUGAGACGAAAAUGUGAUACUAAUAGGAUAUUUGAUAUUAAUAAAUUAUUAUUAUUUUUUAGGUGUGAUAAUGAAGUCACACACAUUUUUAGAGCCCUUACUUUUCAGAAAUAGUAUGAAAAUAUUUACCAAUGAAUCAGCCAUGGAUAAAUAGUAACCUCUGAGGCUGGGUGAUGGGUAUGUGGGGUGGGGCUCUACACUAGUCUCAAUCUUUUUCGAAGGCUUGAAAAAGUCCAUAACGAAAGUUUUUAAAAUUAUAAAUGCACAUAGCAUUUGCCCCUCAUCCAACAUUUCCCCUUACAGGAAAUUAUUGUACCGAUUGACUUGCUCAUGUAUAAAUUGAUAUACAUACAAUAGGAAUCAUUGUAGAAAUGUUUGGAAUAGCAAAAUAUUGGACCAUGUUAUACGUUCAUCAACAGAGUCUAGUUAAAUAUUGUAUGGUACAUUUUAGAAUUAUUUUUAGAUGUAUCUGUUAAAAAGAACAAUGUAGUUACAUUUAUUGAUUUGACAUGCUGUCCAAGAUAUAUCAACUAAAAGAAAAGUUGAGACCACUUAUAGAUAGUAACCAACCGUUUGUGUUAAUAAACAAAGAAGAGAGACAAUAUAAACAUGUAAACCUAAUAACUGUUUUAUCUGUGCCAUACAGAUUCCGAAAUGUUGGUUUUUUUAAUUAUUAUUUUAAGAAAUUUUACAAUUUAAUUUUGUAUUUCCCUUUUGUCCUAAAGGAUAGAGAACAUAAUAAAUGACCCUAUGAAGAUGUAA